UACGGAGGGUGCAAGCGUUAUCCGGAUUCACUGGGGUUAAAGGGUGCGUAGGUGGGCAGGUAAGUCAGUGGUGAAAUCUUUGGGCUUAACCCGAAAACUGCCAUUGAUACUAUUUGUCUUGAAUAUUGUGGAGGUCAGCGGAAUAUGUCAUGUAGCGGUGAAAUGCUUAGAUAUGACAUAGAACACCAAUUGCGAAGGCAGCUGGCUACACAUAUAUUGACACUGAUGCACGAAAGCGUGGGGAUCAAACAGG
rnacentral:rRNA from 1 species